rnacentral:rRNA from 1 species
UACGGAGGGUGCGAGCGUUGUCCGGAAUCAUUGGGCGUAAAGGGCGCGUAGGCGGCCUGGCAAGUCAAUGGUGAAAGCCCGAGGCUCAACUUCGGGUCGGCCACUGAUACUGCUAGGCUUGAGUCGACUAGAGGCAGAUGGAAUUCCGGGUGUAGCGGUGGAAUGCGUAGAGAUCCGGAAGAACACCGGUGGCGAAGGCGGUCUGCUGGGUCGAACUGGACGCUGAGGCGCGACAGCGUGGGAUCGAAACGAGGACUUAGGAA